AUAUCUCCAGAUUACAAGAGUCUGGGCUCCAGAGAGGCAUUCUCUGCCAUAAUAAAAAUACCCGAGUCCCAGCCCACUCUGCAGGCCAUAUUCUCAAGCAUGCUUUCCCCUGUGAGAACUUCCUCUCAGGAACUACUCCCAUAUGUCAUUUCCAGUAUAAAGCAUCAGUGGUGAAACAUACAAUCAAACUUAACCAAUCGAUCCAGUAUACCCCUCUAUCAAAUGAGCUCACUAAAGGUGAGAAACUGAGGUACAGAGAGGUUACAUAAAAUGUCCAAGAUCACAGAGCUGGUGAAUGUCAGAAACAAGAUUUUAAUCCAGUCUGGGUCCAGAGCGUGUCAGCUCUUCACUGUGAGACAGCCAGCGAGAGAGGGAACACAAGCAGGG